AUUGAACGCUGGCGGCAGGCCUAACACAUGCAAGUCGAGCGAGCGGCGGACGGGUGAGUAAUGUCUGGGAAACUGCCUGACGGAGGGGGAUAACUACUGGAAACGGUAGCUUAUACCGCAUACCAUCAGAUGUGCCCAGAUGGGCUGAGCUAGUAGGUUGGGUAACGGCUCACCUAGGCGACGAUCCCUAGCUGGUCUGGGAGGAUGACCAGCCACACAGGAACUGAGACACGGUCCAGACGCCGACGGGAGGCAGCAGUGGGGAGUAUUGCGCAAUGGGCGCAAGCCUGAUGCAGCCAAGCCGCGUGUGUGAAGAAGGCCUUCGGGUAGUAAAACACUUUCAGCGGGGAGGCGUUACCCGCAGAAGAGGCACCGGCUAACUCCGUGCCAGCCGCCGCGGUAAUAC
rnacentral:rRNA from 1 species